GGGCCGCUAGCUUAAUGGCAAAGCUGCAGCCUCUUAAGCUGUAGAUGAAGGUUCGAUCCCUUCGCGGCCCA
rnacentral:tRNA from 1 species